GGGUUAGUAGGUUGGUCAUGCCUCUGGUAUGUACUGGUCUCACUGAUUCCUCCUUCCUGAUGAACCUUAAUGCCAUUAAUUUGGUGUUUUGGGGAAUUUGGACUGUUACUUUGAAAAAUUGGAGUGUUUAAAGCAAGCUAACGCUUGAAUACAUUAGCAUGGAAUAAUGAAAUAGGACGUUCGAUUCCUUAUUUUGUUGGUUUCUAGGAUUGACGUAAUGAUUAA
rnacentral:rRNA from 1 species